rnacentral:rRNA from 1 species
CCUACGGGUGGCAGCAGUCGAGAAUUAUUCACAAUGGGGGAAACCCUGAUGGUGCGACGCCGCGUGGGGGAAUGAAGGUCUUCGGAUUGUAAACCCCUGUCAUGUGGGAGCAAAUUAAAAAGAUAGUACCACAAGAGGAAGAGACGGCUAACUCUGUGCCAGCAGCCGCGGUAAUACAGAGGUCUCAAGCGUUGUUCGGAAUCACUGGGCGUAAAGCGUGCGUAGGCUGUUUCGUAAGUCGUGUGUGAAAGGCGCGGGCUCAACCCGCGGACGGCACAUGAUACUGCGAGACUAGAGUAAGGGAGGGGGAACCGGAAUGCUUGGUGUAGCAGUGAAAUGCGUAGAUAUCGAGAGGAACACUCGUGGCGAAGGCGGGUUCCUGGACAUUAACUGACGCUGAGGCACGAAGGCCAGGGGAGCGAAAGGGAUUAGAUACCCCUGUAGUC